GACAGAGGGUGCAAACGUUGUUCGGAAUUACUGGGCGUAAAGAGCUCGUAGGUGGUUUGUCGCGUUGUUCGUGAAAACUCACAGCUCAACUGUGGGCGUGCGGGCGAUACGGGCAGACUGGAGUACUGCAGAGGAGACUGGAAUUCCUGGUGUAGCGGUGGAAUGCGCAGAUAUCAGGAGGAACACCGGUGGCGAAGGCGGGUCUCUGGGCAGUAACUGACGCUGAGGAGCGAAAGCGUGGGGAGCGAACAGG
rnacentral:rRNA from 1 species